UCCCCUGUAGCUCAGUUGGUAGAGCAGCUGACUGUUAAUCAGCGGGUCGUAAGUUCGAGUCUUACCGGGGGAG
rnacentral:tRNA from 1 species